GACGAACGCUGGCGGCGUGCCUGACACAUGCAAGCCGGACGGUUCUUGCACCUUCAAGCUUGCUUGCUGGUGCAGGGAUAGUGGCGGACGGGUGAGUAACGCGUGAACAUCUACCCAUUGGAGGGGGACAACCCGUCGAAAGGCGGGCUAAUACCGCGUAAGCCGUGAGGUGAGAGGCUGCCUAUUGGUGGCCGCCGAUGGAUGGGUUCGCGUCCUAUCAGCUGGUUGGUGGGGUAACGGCCUACCAAGGCGAAGACGGGUAGCCGGUCUGAGAGGAUGGCCGGCCACACUGGAACUGAGACACGGUCCAGACUCCUACGGGAGGCAGCAGUGGGGAAUAUUGGGCAAUGGGGGUAACCCUGACCCAGCGACGCCGCGUGAGGGACGAAGGUUUUCGGAUCGUAAACCCCUGUUGUACGGGAAGAAGGAAUUGACGGUACCGUACGAGAAAGCCCCGGCAAACUACGUG
rnacentral:rRNA from 1 species